UACAGAGGUCCCGAGCGUUGUUCGGAUUCAUUGGGCGUAAAGGGUGCGUAGGCGGCGGGGCAAGUCUGAUGUGAAAUCCCGGGGCUCAACCCCGGAACUGCAUUGGAUACUGCCUUGCUAGAGUACUGGAGAGGGAACUGGAAUUUACGGUGUAGCAGUGAAAUGCGUAGAGAUCGUAAGGAAGGCCAGUGGCGAAGGCGAGUUCCUGGACAGUGACUGACGCUGAGGCACGGAGGCCAGGGGAGCAAACGGG
rnacentral:rRNA from 1 species